AGAUUUGAAUAGGAUUUGGUUAGAUUUUAUUGAGAGUUUGAUUAUAAUUUGGUUAGGAUUUGUUUAGGAUUUGAUUAGGUUUUGAUAAAGGUUUAUUAAGGAUUUGGUUAGGAUUUGUUUAGGGUUUUUUUUAGGAUUUGACUAGGAUUUGUUUAUGAUUUGACUAAGAUUUAUUUAUAAUUUGAUUAGAAUUUAUUUAGGAUUUGACUAGAGUUUGGUUAAGAUUUGUUUAGAAUUUGUUUAGAAUUUGUUUAGGAUUUGAUUAGAGUUUGGUUAAGAUUUGUUUAGAAUUUGUUUAGAAUUUAUUUAGGAUUUGAUUAGGAUUUGUUUAGGAUUUGAUUAGGAUUUUUUUAGGAUUUGAUUAGGAUUUUUUAGGAUUUAUUUAGGAUUUAGUUAGGAUUUAUUUAGGAUUUAGUUAGGAUUUGAUUAAGU
rnacentral:lncRNA from 1 species